ACCAACCAGGUGUUCUGGGACAUACCCAAGGCCAUAUACCUUAUCAAGGGAGACAUUGCAUCUGUUAUUUUGUUCUUCACGUUUUCUUUCCUAUAAUACUCACCCCAAACCUACCUGUUCUUUCAUAAACCAUCUAUUCAACCCUCUGAUCCAACCGGUUCAAGUUGCCUUGAUUUCCACUUCAAGAAUAACUACUACACUCCAAAGCAACCAUGGCUUUUCUAAUAAGGGUACUGCAAUUGGCUCUACUACUUGCUGUGGGUUCUCAAGUACAUGCUUACAGGCUCGUGCUUGCUGGGCCCCAGCAGCACCAGCAGUCUCCUAGCUACGAGCAGCACCGGCUGCUCGUAGCUAGACCAGCCGCUGCAGCCACAGCCGCCACUCCAGCAACAGCGGCCACUCCGGCAACAGCGGCC